UACGUAGGGUGCGAGCGUUAAUCGGAAUUACUGGGCGUAAAGCGUGCGCAGGCGGUGAUGUAAGACCGAUGUGAAAAUCCCCGGGCUUAACCUGGGAACUGCAUUGGUGACUGCAUUGCUGGAGUAUGGCAGAGGGGGGGUGGAAUUCCACGUGUAGCAGUGAAAUGCGUAGAGAUGUGGAGGAACACCGAUGGCGAAGGCAGCCCCCUGGGCCAAUACUGACGCUCAUGCACGAAAGCGUGGGGAGCAAACAGG
rnacentral:rRNA from 1 species